UACGUAGGGUGCAAGCGUUGUCCGGAAUUAUUGGGCGUAAAGAGCUCGUAGGCGGUUCGUCGCGUCGGCUGUGAAAUCCCGAGGCUCAACCUCGGGUCUGCAGUCGAUACGGGCGGACUGGAGUUCGGCAGGGGAGACUGGAAUUCCUGGUGUAGCGGUGAAAUGCGCAGGUAUCAGGAGGAACACCGGUGGCGAAGGCGGGUCUCUGGGCCGAUACUGACGCUGAGGAGCGAAAGCGUGGGGAGCGAACAGG
rnacentral:rRNA from 1 species